rnacentral:misc_RNA from 1 species
GCGAAAUCCAAAUCGGUGGGUGUCCCGACGCCGAAAGGGUCGGGCCCCUCCAUCAUCACAUACACCUCUGUCGAACCGUAGGGGAAUCGGCUGAUACCUUUUCCCUGUCUUUUUCAUACUCUUAAGUCUGAGAAUGAAGUCUUGGUUGAAACCAAAAUA